GAAAGUGGCAAACGGGCGAGUAACACGUAUUUAACUUACCUCGGAGCGGAGUAUAACUAUGGAGACAUAGCUAAUCCUCCAUACGCUCUACAGAAUGAAAAUAUGUAGAGGAAAGAUUUAUCACUCUGAGAGAGGGAUGCGUCCUAUCAGGUAGUUGGUGAGGUAACUGCUCACCAAGCCUAUGACGGGUAACCGGUCUGAGAGGAUGUCCGGUCGCAAUGGAACUGAGACACGGUCCAUACUCCUACGGGAGGCAGCAGUGGGGAAUCUUGCGCAAUGGGCGAAAGCCUGACGCAGCCACUCCGCGUGGGGGAUGAAGCCUUGAGGGGCGUAAACUCCUUUUCUGGGGGAAGACGAAUGACGGUACCUCAGGAAUAAGGGACGGCUAACUACGUGCCAGCAGCCGCGGUAAUACGUAGGUCCCAAGCGUUAUCCGGAUUUACUGGGCGUAAAGCGUCUGCAGCCGGAAUUGUAAGUCUAUUUUCAAAGACUCCGACUUAAUCGGAGGAAGGGAAUAGAUACUGCUUUUCUUGAGUAUUUUAGGAGUUAGUGGAAUUUCCAGUGGAGCGGUGAAAUGCGUUGAUAUUGGAAGGAACGCCAAAAGCGAAAGCAGCUAACUAUAAAACUACUGACGGUCAGAGACGAAAGCUUGGGUAGCAAACGGGAUUAGAUACCCCGGUAGUCCAAGCCGUAAAUUUUGUUCGCUAGAUGUG
rnacentral:rRNA from 1 species